GAUGAACGCUAGCGGCAGGCCUAAUACAUGCAAGUCGAACGGUGUCUUCGGACAUAGUGGCGCACGGGUGCGUAACACGUAUGCAACCUACCUUACAUUGGGGGAUAGCCUUUCGAAAGGGAGAUUAAUACCGCAUAAGACAGUAGCCGGGCAUCCAGCAGCUGUUAAAGAUUUAUCGAUGUAAGCUGGGCAUGCGUCCAAUUAGCUAGAUGGUGAGGUAACGGCUCACCAAGGCAAUGAUUGGUAGGGGAACUGAGAGGUCAAUCCCCCACACUGGCACUGAGAUACGGGCCAGACUCCUACGGGAGGCAGCAGUAGGGAAUAUUGGGCAAUGGACGCAAGUCUGACCCAGCCAUGCCGCGUGCAGGAUGAAGGCGUUAUGCGUUGUAAACUGCUUUUAUACAGGAAGAAACGACUCUUGCGAGAGGCAUUGACGGUACUGUAUGAAUAAGCACCGGCUAACUCCGUGCCAGCCGCCGCAGUAAUAC
rnacentral:rRNA from 1 species